UACGGGGGGGGCAAGCGUUGUUCGGAAUUACUGGGCGUAAAGGGCUCGUAGGCGGCCAACUAAGUCAGACGUGAAAUCCCCAGGCUUAACCUGGGAACUGCAUCCGAUACUGGAUGGCUUGAAUCCGGGAGAGGGAUGCGGAAUUCCAGGUGUAGCGGUGAAAUGCGUAGAUAUGCGGAGGAACACCGGUGGCGAAGGCGGUUCUCUGGGCCUGUACUGACGCUGAGGAACGAAAGCGUGGGGAGCGAACAGG
rnacentral:rRNA from 1 species